rnacentral:rRNA from 1 species
AUUGAUUUUAUGCUUGCAUAAAUGAUUUUUGGAUUCGGAGCGAGUGGCGAACUGGUGAGUAACACGUGGGUAACCUGCCCCGAAGCGGGGGACAACAUUUGGAAACAAGUGCUAAUACCGCAUAAUUAGUUGGAACCGCAUGGUUCCAACUUGAAAGAUGGCUCUGCUAUCACUUUGGGAUGGACCCGCGCCGUAUUAGUUAGUUGGUGAGAUAAAAGCCCACCAAGACGAUGAUACGUAGCCGACCUGAGAGGGUAAUCGGCCACAUUGGGACUGAGACACGGCCCAGACUCCUACGGGAGGCAGCAGUAGGGAAUCUUCCACAAUGGACGAAAGUCUGAUGGAGCAACGCCGCGUGAGUGAUGAAGGGUUUCGGCUCGUAAAACUCUGUUGUUAAAGAAGAACAAGUGUUAGAGUAACUGUUAACACUUUGACGGUAUUUAACCAGAAAGCCACGGCUAACUACGUGCCAGCAGCCGCGGUAAUACGUAGGUGGCAAGCGUUGUCCGGAUUUAUUGGGCGUAAAGCGAGCGCAGGCGGUUUUGGAAGUCUGCUGUGAAAGCCCUCAGCUCAACUGAGGAAGUGCAGUGGAAACUACAAAACUUGAGUACAGAAGAGGAAAGUGGAACUCCAUGUGUAGCGGUGAAAUGCGUAGAUAUAUGGAAGAACACCAGUGGCGAAGGCGGCUUUCUGGUCUGUUACUGACGCUGAGGCUCGAAAGCAUGGGUAGCGAACAGGAUUAGAUACCCUGGUAGUCCAUGCCGUGAACGAUGAAUACUAGGUGUUGGAGGGUUUCCGCCCUUCAGUGCCGCAGCUAACGCAUUAAGUAUUCCGCCUGGGGAGUACGACCGCAAGGUUGAAACUCAAAGGAAUUGACGGGGGCCCGCACAAGUGGUGGAGCAUGUGGUUUAAUUCGAUGCUACGCGAAGAACCUUACCAGCUCUUGACAUCUUCUGCCAACCCAAGAGAUUGGGCGUUCCCUUCGGGGACAGAAUGACAGGUGGUGCAUGGUUGUCGUCAGCUCGUGUCGUGAGAUGUUGGGUUAAGUCCCGCAACGAGCGCAACCCUUAUUAUUAGUUGCCAGCAUUUAGUUGGGCACUCUAGUGAGACUGCCGGUGAUAAA